AUGGAGGAUAGGUCCAUUAAUGGCUCUCAUUCCUUUUGGACCCCAGUUACCCUUUUGGCCUUCACAACAUCCUCAUCUUUUUGCAGCUCCCGGCCUGCUUGCUAUCUGUCCUCCUCUCUGCAGCCAGCUCCCUCCUUGCUCGCUAUCUGUCCUCCUCUCUGCAGCCAGCUCCCUCCUUGCGCGCUAUCUGUCCUCCUCUCUGCAGCCAGCUCCCUCCUUGCGCGCUAUCUGUCUUCCCAUCUGCAGCCAGCUCACAGCUGUUCAGGCUUCUGCCUCCAACCAUUUUGCUCUCAUGUAGCCUCCCUGUGUGCCCCCAUGCACCAGGUUGGGGGAGGGUACAGACCCCCUGCUGGCUGGAUGUGGUAUUGGCUGGUGCCCACACUGAGAGCCAAGGGGUUCAUGCUGGCACUUUAACAGGUUGAGGUGGGGGAACCGCGGCUUUAACUUGACUCGAGGCCUCAUCACCACUGGGCAUUUAGCACACGCUGAGAGCCGGCAUUUGCUAGCGCCCCCCCUUGGAGCCCAGUCCGACACGGCCACUGGGGCUGUUUGCUUGCACAGGAGCCUGGAGCUGCUCAUGUCCCUGCUUUGGUAUUGGGCACAGAGGCAGCGAUCAGACCUGCACCACUCCCACUGCAGGGCCCGGCCUGGCCUGUGCUGGCCUUGUGUAGCUGCUUUGCUGCAGCAAUGCUUGUGCAAACUGGCUGCAAAUCAGUAGGACCUCCCCCCCCGCCCCAAGGAAUCCCACCAGCACACAGUGCCUUCCCCACAUCACAGAGCGGGCUCUGCACCCCAACCCCACGACAUAAUAUAUGGAGAUAUACCUAUCUCGGAGAACUGGAAGGGACCCCGAAAGGUCAUCGAGUCCAGCCCCCUGCCUUCACUAGCAGGACCACGUACUGAUUUUGCCCCAGAUCCCUAAGUGGCCCCCUCAAGGAUUGAACUCACACCUCUGGGUUUAGCAGGCAGGGGGACGUCCCAAUAAUGGGUGGGGGUGUGGCCACAGUAGCCCAGCCCCCUGGCUAUUCCCCAGCUGUCAUAAGGCCAAUAGGGACCAUAUACAGCAUAUUCCUAACAGGAGAGCCAUAUACUAGACUAUUUUUUUAAUCCCACCCCGUCAAUACCCACUCCCACCCGCACCCGCAUUGUUUCUUGCAUUUGUAUCCCGCUCCCACCCACAAAAACAUCCAGUCCCACAAAUCCCACAAGAGAGAGAGGGACUCCCCGAGCCUACUAACAAAACACAACAGUCGGUUAAUAUAUUAUAUAUAUAAAUGGAAUUCAGACAAUUUUUACCACUAAAAGAAUAAAACAAAUCUUGCUUAAACCA
rnacentral:lncRNA from 1 species